rnacentral:lncRNA from 1 species
GAUGAGAGGCACAACGGGCCAGAGAUAGGGAGUCGCCUGGGGAACACCCACACCGAUCAUCUUCCCAUCCAGUCACCACCCAGUAGACUGCACCUGGCGGCCGGCUGCAGGAGCCUUUGAGUCUUAGCCACUGGGAGGGCGCCCAGGGGCGGAGGAGGCGCUGCGAACCCGUUUGGGGGCUUCUUUGUUUCUCUUCGGGCCCCUAUCUGCCGGCUGUACCCAAGCCUUGGGAUGCCAGCCCGGCUUGGGCGGCGACCCGCCCCAAGUCAACAAUUGAACCUCGCGGGAGAAGAGAGGGUGGGUAAAAGGGUGGAUCCCGGCUCUCUGGAGGCAGUGCGCUGCAGGGGCUUCGCAAGGGCUCCAACUGGGCACAGAUCAUGCUCCGGUCCGCACGCAGGUGCAGAUACAUUGCACAGCAUCCUCCAGUAUUUUCGCAGCAAGUUCCCCCAAAACAACGUUAUGAUCACAAAUGCCAUGCUUGUAAAUCGCCCUAGGAGAACUUUACAGAAGAGGAAACCACGGGAAACCAAGUGAAGCCUCAAUUCCCACCCUCCUCCCUCCCCCGGGAGCACCUCCCUUCCAGCCUGCGCUCGUCACUUCAGGUGCCCAGUGAUUUCUCAAUGGACAUUUCCCUCUGUCUGGCAGGAAUCUGAUUUUCCCACCAGAUGAGUUCAACGCUGUCUGUUUUUCAAACCAUAUCUCAAAAGCCACACAGAACCCUGAGCACACAUUUCACCAGAUUUGACAGAUGAGCUUUGGUAUGAAGAAAACCUCCAAGAAUGGACUUGGCUGAGGUGCAACAAUAAACACCAGAAUCAACCAAAUGAUAAUACCAACCAGAAAUUUGGAAGAAAAACAAGUAAAUCAACAAAAGUCUCUUGUAUAAACUAAUAUUAAAGAUUUCUGAAGACACAAUUCCAACAAAC